CCCCCAGCAACUAAGGACCGAGGGUAAUCCCACCUAAGGGGGACGAGGGUAAGAAACCCACAGGGGUUGAGAGGGGCUGGGACUUAGAGCGAGGAGCAAACCCAGACCCCUCCCCUGCUUCCUUCCUCUACCACCUUCCCGGGCUAGUAGUGGGCACCCAAGAGCAGGGACAAAGGGUAGCAUCUUAGCUCCCUGCCAAGAAAAGCGCAGGACCCACCAGACUAAAAUCGGCCAUCUUGCCACAGUAACCACCUGGUAA